rnacentral:rRNA from 1 species
GACGAACGCUGGCGGCGUGCCUAAUACAUGCAAGUUGAGCGCUGAAGGUUGGUACUUGUACCAACUGGAUGAGCAGCGAACGGGUGAGUAACGCGUGGGGAAUCUGCCUUUGAGCGGGGGACAACAUUUGGAAACGAAUGCUAAUACCGCAUAAAAACUUUAAACAUAAGUUUUAAGUUUGAAAGAUGCAAUUGCAUCACUCAAAGAUGAUCCCGCGUUGUAUUAGCUAGUUGGUGAGGUAAAGGCUCACCAAGGCGAUGAUACAUAGCCGACCUGUGAGGGUGGUCGGCCACAUUGGGACUGUGACACGGCCCAAACUCCUACAGGAGGCAGCAGUAGGGAAACUUCGGCGAUGGGCGAGAGUCUGACCGAGCAACGCGGCGUGAGUGAAGAAGGUUUUCGGAUCGUAAAACUCUGUUGGUAGAGAAGAACGUUGGUGAGAGUGGAAAGCUCAUCAAGUGACGGUAACUACCCAGAAAGGGACGGCUAACUACGUG